rnacentral:rRNA from 1 species
UUUGACAUGUACGGAAUCCUUUAGAGAUAGAGGAGUGCUCGAAAGAGAGCCGUAACACAGGUGGCUGCAUGGCUGUCGUCAGCUCGUGUCGUGAGAUGUUGGGUUAAGUCCCGCAACGAGCGCAACCCUUGUCAUUAGUUGCCAUCUACUUGGUUGGGCACUCUAAUGAGACUGCCGGUGACAAACCGGAGGAAGGUGGGGAUGACGUCAAGUCCUCAUUGGCCCUUAUGGGUAGGGCUUCACGCGUCAUACAAUGGUCGGUACAGAGAGUUGCCAACCCGCGAGGGGGAGCUAAUCCCACAAAGCCGAUCGUAGUCCGGAUCGCAGUCUGCAACUCGACUGCGUGAAGUCGGAAUCGCUAGUAAUCGUGGAUCAGCAUGUCGCGGUGAAUACGUUCCCGGGUCUU